UCUUGCAGGUCACACAACAUCCACUUGUUGCCUUCUAUUUGUGAGAAGUGAGUCACUAAGUCAAGCCCACAUCGAGAGGGAGGAGAAUCAGAUUCCACCUUCUGAACGGAAAUUUUGUGAGAAGAUUCUAAAACCACUUGAACUACACUGAUAAUAAAGACCAUCUUUCAGCUCAUUAAGGUAACACCUAAAGCACCGAGUCCCGGAACCCCCACGAGUGUCCUGAGUCCUCACCGGCAUUUACCUUCAACUUCCGGUGAUCUGCAUUUUCCGGGACGGUGGACCACAUUGCCCAGUGGUGGGCAUCCCGCGCAGCAACCCUUCAUUUGAUAGAACAGAGAUGAUCCCGUUGCUGCUCAAAUCUGUUAAAGAGAAUCACAGACCAGGAUGCAGGAAGGUCUCCUGGCUGACCUUCUCUCCAUUUCCUGCCAAAGGAGGAGUGGGCUCCUGAGACCAUUCAGCAGAAUGAGGAGGAAGUCAGGGCUGCGCUGCUUCAAAUAUCUCAAGGCUGAGCAAGCUUUCUCCACUGGGACAAAUCUUGGUGC